UACGUAGGGUGCGAGCGUUGUCCGGAAUUAUUGGGCGUAAAGAGCUCGUAGGCGGCUUGUCGCGUCGGAUGUGAAAGCCCGGGGCUUAACUCCGGGUCUGCAUUCGAUACGGGCAGGCUAGAGUUCGGUAGGGGAGAUCGGAAUUCCUGGUGUAGCGGUGAAAUGCGCAGAUAUCAGGAGGAACACCGGUGGCGAAGGCGGGUCUCUGGACAGUUCCUGACGCUGAGGCACGAAGGCCAGGGGAGCGAACGGG
rnacentral:rRNA from 1 species